AUUUCAGCUGAAGAUUAUGAUGAGGUGUUUGAUAAUGUCAUUGCUAAGGAAUCAAAACCACGUGGGUACUAUGAUGAUAAGUAUUGGAGCCACGUAAAGGUCUCUCAAGGGCUAGCUUUUAUCGGGCAAUCUGUGAAUGAAGUCAAUCACUCCGAAAUAAAAGGAGUGAAAAAUCAGAUGGAACACAUGAGUGAUAAGGUGGACCGCAUAGAUGCAUUCUUGAAACAAAAGUUUCCUGGAGAGGAUUGGAUAACCAAAAUGGUGGCAUCAAAAAAUGAUAAUGUGAGAAGGCCUAAGAUCUCAACUCCAAGACGUGCAUGACAACUUGGUGAUUUGCAUUCUUCGACAAAAGAUCUCAUGGACUGAAGAUGGUGGAUCAGCUAUUAUACUGUUUUCUGUGUAAAGAAAACUCAUGCAUACCUAGGGAUAGUUUCU